UGGGGAAUAUUGCACAAUGGGGGAAACCCUGAUGCAGCGACGCCGCGUGAACGAAGAAGGUAUUCGUAUCGUAAAGUUCUGUCCUAUGGGAAGAUAAUGACAGUACCAUAGAAGAAAGCUCCGGCUAAAUACGUGCCAGCAGCCGCGGUAAUACGUAUGGAGCGAGCGUUGUCCGGAAUUAUUGGGCGUAAAGGGUACGCAGGCGGUUUAAUAAGUCGAAUGUUAAAGAUCGGGGCUCAACCCCGCAAAGCAUUGGAAACUGAUAAACUUGAGUAGUGGAGAGGAAAGUGGAAUUCCUAGUGUAGUGGUGAAAUACGUAGAUAUUAGGAGGAAUACCAGUAGCGAAGACGACUUUCUGGACACAAACUGACGCUGAGGUACGAAAGCGUGGGGAGCAAACAGG
rnacentral:rRNA from 1 species